GGGGAUGCUUAAAAUCGAUAGAUCUGAGAUUUAAAUUAGUCGAGCCGAGCAUUGAUAUUUAGCUCGUUAAUCUCAAAUAUCAUUCAUUAUAAGUGCCAAAUCACUUAUCGCUAAAGUCAAGUCAGCUUUUAGCUCACUUACUUUAGCUCCUGCUCUAGCCUAAAACCUAGAGCCAUCAGCCCGGCGACGCCUAAUAACCGGUUCCUGGUGUCAAACAUUAGGCUAAGCAGAUUAUCCGCCUCAAUAAUCUGACUAAAACCUUAGAGGCUUUGACUGAUAGAAUUUUGUUAGUUUCUAAUCUAUUAGUUAAAACCAAAAACUGACUAAGCUCGUAAAUCUAAUUUGAAUUUCCUUCUAGACAGGGGUGCAAGUCCCCUCAUCUCCACCA
rnacentral:tmRNA from 1 species